GCAGUCGAGCGGAUGAAGGGAGCUUGCUCCUGGAUUCAGCGGCGGACGGGUGAGUAAUGCCUAGGAAUCUGCCUGGUAGUGGGGGAUAACGUCCGGAAACGGGCGCUAAUACCGCAUACGUCCUGAGGGAGAAAGUGGGGGAUCUUCGGACCUCACGCUAUCAGAUGAGCCUAGGUCGGAUUAGCUAGUUGGUGGGGUAAAGGCCUACCAAGGCGACGAUCCGUAACUGGUCUGAGAGGAUGAUCAGUCACACUGGAACUGAGACACGGUCCAGACUCCUACGGGAGGCAGCAGUGGGGAAUAUUGGACAAUGGGCGAAAGCCUGAUCCAGCCAUGCCGCGUGUGUGAAGAAGGUCUUCGGAUUGUAAAGCACUUUAAGUUGGGAGGAAGGGCAGUAAGUUAAUACCUUGCUGUUUUGACGUUACCAACAGAAUAAGCACCGGCUAACUUCGUGCCAGCAGCCGCGGUAAUACGAAGGGUGCAAGCGUUAAUCGGAAUUACUGGGCGUAAAGCGCGCGUAGGUGGUUCAGCAAGUUGGAUGUGAAAUCCCCGGGCUCAACCUGGGAACUGCAUCCAAAACUACUGAGCUAGAGUACGGUAGAGGGUGGUGGAAUUUCCUGUGUAGCGGUGAAAUGCGUAGAUAUAGGAAGGAACACCAGUGGCGAAGGCGACCACCUGGACUGAUACUGACACUGAGGUGCGAAAGCGUGGGGAGCAAACAGGAUUAGAUACCCUGGUAGUCCACGCCGUAAACGAUGUCGACUAGCCGUUGGGAUCCUUGAGAUCUUAGUGGCGCAGCUAACGCGAUAAGUCGACCGCCUGGGGGAGUACGGCCGCCA
rnacentral:rRNA from 1 species